ensembl:lncRNA
CGCGGGAAUACGAAGGCAGGAGCCUGCUAAAAACGAUUAGGCCUGCGAAAGGGUUAACCCGAACUCCAUUAAAGAGGAGGGGGGGAAAAAAAGAUGGUGAGCUGGGCAGAUGGAGAAAGCAAACAAGAGGCAGAAGUUGAACUCUACCAGAUGGAAAUAAAUAUCCUGAACUUAGCUGGUCAUCAAUAUUGCAAAACACUGCUGAGCCAAAGGGUAUAGAAAUGAAGGGAAAAGUACAAUUCACCAUAAAGCAGUAGGAGAAAAAUAUUUGUUGUUUGAAUGAAAUAUGUAAAACUGGGCUUGAAAGAAUAGCUUCUAGGUUAUUUUUUCAUUUGUAUACAAUAAUUAUAGGCAGUUACAUGUGAAAUAAAUACUUUAAAAGAUAGUAAAACUGAAUUAUUUAAAAGCAUUGACAUGAAAGUGUUUUCUUUGAAUAAAUACAUCAGUGCAUCAAAAAUAAUGGUAAAUAGAUACAUUCGUUUCCUUCUAGGACUCUACAGAUAGAACUGUGCUUAAAAGUAAAUGUCAUGGUAAUUACUUCCCUAGGGAUGUGAAACCUCCUGCACUACUCAAAAUGGAGAUAGGGAAACAAGUAAUCCUUAAAAUUACCAUAGCCCUAGAUCUAGAUUUUCUGAUAUCCUUCUAACCCCCACCACCCUUACUCAUCUGCUCUGUUCAUUUCCCGUACACCAUCAGUCAUUCGAGCAUUAGAUUAGAAAUCAGGUGGGUUUUUCUUCUUCAAAAAUUUUGAGCUUAAACUGACUCAUCUACAAAAUAGAAAUAAUGAAAUUAACAAAAUAUUAGGAUCCGAAUUAAUUCCUGUCUCCCAGCCCAUGUUUUCUCCACUACUUUUUUUUUCUUUCAUUGAAAUGUAUUUGAGGUAGAAUAUCAUGCUAGGUUCAAGUGUACUACAUAAUGAUUUAAUAUUUGCAUACAUUACGAAAUGGCCACUACUUUUUACUGCCUUCCCAGACAGCAGCUGGACCCUUUCUGAAUGCUUCUUAAAAUCAGUAGAAUAGAGUUAACAGAAAGUUGAACUCAUAUUCUAGAAGGGGUUUUCCUCCCACUGUUUUCUAUUGUAUGUGUGUGUUUCCCACUUUAAAUCGUUCCUUUAAGAGAUAAAUGGAUUUAAGAAAUUACUCUUUUACACUAGGGUGAUCUAGGGAGUACUCAGGAGGGAAAAAAGGAGGUAAAUGUUGGUCCUAAAUGCAAGCUUUGGAUAGUAGACAAUGUUAAUAGCUAAUGGUUUUCAAAUCGGGACAUAUAUAUGUUUAAUAAUAUUUUUCCAGAAGUUUGGUAAGGCUGUUCCCAUCCAAGAAACUAGGAGGUAUUUCUUGACAUUUUGAAUUUGUAAAGGCACUUUCUCUCAUCUUGUUAAUAUGCUAAACUACAGGGUACUCCCAACUACUUACAAACCCAACUCUUCAUUCUGUGUCUUUAGGCAAGUUAUUUACUUCUCUGCAUCGUAAUCUCCAAAAAACGGAAAGGUUGCUAUGAGGACUAAGUGGAAUAACUGUUGUUUAGUCGCUCAGUCGGGUCUGACUGUUUUUGACCCCAUGGACUGGCAGGCUCUUCAGUCCUUGGGAUUUCCCAGCGUUUGGGAACUCAUCAAAACUAUUAAUCUAUGAAUAAGAGAGCACUAAAUUAAUUUUUUAUGCUAUUCAUUGGAUAUGCUAUUCCCACUGCCUGGAAUAUCCCCUCCCCCUUUUUUUUUUUCCUGGCUAAUAUCUGCUUAUCGUCCAAGAAGACUUCCCUGACUCUCUGGACUUGUGUAAGUGUCUACAGUAUUCUGCUUCCCCUUGCCCUCACCCUGGUACUGAUCAGACAUAACUAGAUUUACUAUGUUUACUAAUCCCUUUUCCUUUCUGGUCUGUAAAUUCUCAUAGGGCAAGCAUCUUCCAUCAUUCACUAUUGUGAAUGCCUAAGAAACACACAAACACAUAGUAAAUGCUGUUGACUGAUGUUAAAUAGACAUCUAAAUAAAAUGAGUCCAUCAAAACCAUGACUUGCAAACACACACACACACACACACACACACACCCCACAAAAAAAAACAGUAACAAAAAACAGCGUGACUUGCAGUUUGUCAGCUGACAGAUCACACAGAGCAAGCUGUCUUGCUUAAAAUCGGACAGUCAGUAUUUGAGAAGAUAAGUAACUCACCUCUGUGGCACUGUCUUUCUGGCUCCUGUGAGUGUUAGAUUACUCCAUAGUGUUUUAGAUAAAUGUUGUUUUGGGAUAGGCUGCAUUUCCAAAGCAAAUGAAAUGGAGACCAAAGUCACUUGGAUAUGCUGCUUAAGAAAUACUGUGGAAGUCUCCACAUCGCUCCCAUUUAAGGCUUCUUAUCUUAUUUCUCCACGUGUUAUGUAGACACAUUUUAGUAUUUUUAUAUAUCAGAUUACACAGGGGUGUCAUUUGCCACUCUCACAUUGCCCUUCUAUCCUGAAGUUGUUCACAAGGAGCCCUUCCUAAACUCCAGGCUUCCACUUCAUCCCUGUGAUCCUGGCUUCCUGCAUUAUUGCAAAGGUUUUACUCCUUAUCUGGCCCCUCCCUCCCCAAAGGCACCUUUAGGCCCAGAGACUCCCUUGCUGAGCUGGAUGAGCCUCUUUGUUGCUGAAGGCAUUCACUAAAGUUAUUAUCUAUUGUGUCCUCUGUUGUGAAUUUACUUCCAGAGUCCUACGUGUCCUUGGUGCUAGCUUUAGAAAACUGACAGCUGGUUCAAGCAGGAGAGUUCUUUACAGAGUGUUAAUAGCAAGUAGAGACAGGGUAUUUAUUUUGGGGUGUGUAUGGGGGCAGAAGGAGAUAAGGAAGCCACUGCCCAAAGUGAGUGAUCUCUCUGAUCAGUGAAGUUGGCCCAUAGAUAGGUCUCUGGAAGGAAGAAAAAGAGGGGACCUGAUCUGGAAGUAUUUUAAAGACUUAAACCACUAUGAGGAAGAUAAAUAUUGCUGAAAAAACUGGUGAGUAAAUAGGGCCAUAGUUACCUGGCAGUGAGGGGGAGAGUUGAGUGUUCUGGGCAGGGAAGUGAAAUUAUCAGAUUUAUUUUUUGGAGUCCUAUGGAUGAUGAAUUAAAUUGGGCUCAUUUGAAGUGACUUCUAUUUUUGUCUCUAAUUCUUAUUUAAAUCUUUAAAUAAUUUAGCUUUCAUCUCUUCAGCUAGAGACUUAAUGCCUUUUGUUUAUUCUUUUCUUGAUUAUCCAUGGGAAGCAGACCACUUUUAGGAGCCUCCCCACCUGCCAACCUGUUUUGCUUUGCUUAGAUAUGAAUUCAAGGGCACAAACUAAGACCCUUGUACUAGGUUUAGAUCAAGAAACAUAAGAGAACUAGAAAUCAGACAGUGACAAGUAUAGAUUUGGGGCAAAACUGUUCUUCUUGUUAAAGCAAUUGGGAAAAAGGAUUAAAGAGUUGCUUCUGAGUAGUAGUAACAAUGAUCAUACAAAUUAACAUCAUUGAAGGUGAACCAGACACUGUAAGUAUUUUAUUUUAUUUUUUUGCAUUUGCAAAGUCAAUUCAGUCAUGUCUGACUAUCUGUGACCCUAUGGACUGAAGCCUGCCAAGCUCCUCUGUCCGUAGGAUUUUACAGGCAAGAAUGCUAGAGUGGGUUGCCAUGCCCUUCUCCAGGGGAUCUUCUCCAUCCAGGGAUCGAACCUGCAUCUCUUAUAUCUCUUGCAUUGGCAGACAGGUUCUUUACCAUUAGCACCACCUGGGAAGCCCAUUUUAUUUUUACUUUUCAUUUAUUUAUGUAUCUAUUUAUUUUUGGCCAUGCCACUCCACUUGUGGGAUUUUAAUUCCCCAACCAGGGAAUGAACCUGGGCCCUCAGCAGUAAGACCAUAUUGUCCUAACCAGUGUACCACCAGAGAAUUCCCGUGUACUAAGUAUUUUAGAGGCAUCCCAUUUAAUUCUCCCAGAAACACCACCAGGUAAGUAUAAUUGUCUGCAUUUAACAAGUGAGGUUUCAAUCCUAAAGAAAAUAAGUAAUUUACUCGAGGUCUUACAACCAGAUUUAAACCCUCAAGUCUACACUAUAAAACUUGGAGGUGAAUUCCUGAUACUACCUUUUCUAAAGGGAUCAUGAGAAAUAAAAUCUUAUAAAGGUAUAAAACAUUUUGGAAAUUAGUAGAGAUGGUAGAAAGGAAAAAAAAAAAAAAAACCAAGGCAGCUUAGAAGCGUUCUCAUGGCUGACAUAUCCUGGAAAAUACAGCUAUAUUUCUUAAAAGGCUCACUGAAAAAUGAAUCAAAGGACAUAUUAGAACAUUAAUCUGCCAAAUAAAAUAAGUUCACUGGAAUGAAAACUAUCCCUAGGGGCAGAUAAGAGAAAGCAGAAAAAAAAAAAUACCUUCUAUUUUAGACUAUUUAGUAUCUUGCUUCUCCUUUGACUUAAAUUGGCAGAAGGAACUAGGAAGUGGGUCGGCCCCACAGUCCUUCUCCGACAAUUAGUGGAGUCCAGUGAGCUUUGAGGGCGUCAGUGAAAGAGCUGGAGAGCAGCAAGAAGGGUUGCUUUUGUGUCUGUCUCUUUCUCGCCAGCUUCCCUGGUGGCUCAGUGGUAAAGAAUCCUCUUGCAAUGCAGGAGAUGCAAGAGACAGAGGUUCCAUCCCUGGGUGGGGAAGAUCCCCUGGAGGAGGGCAUGGCAACCCACUCCAGUAAUCUGGCCUGGAAAAUCCCAUGGACAAAGAAGCCUGGUGGGCUACAGUCAAUAGAGUUGCAAAGAGUCAGACAUGACUGAGGGUGUAACAUGCUUCUCCUUCUCCUUCUUCCUUUUAGCAGACCCUAUGAUUUUACUUACUUUUUUUCUUUUUAAAGCUGCCAUCAUCUACUCUGUCUCCUGGGGCAAUCCCCCACUGUUCAGGCUUAUUGGAUGUUUAUCUGCAUCUUCUCAGCACCAACAGUCUUCUUCAGUUUUACGGUUUAACAACAGUGUGAGGAAAGAGACAGAUGAUAAGAAUCAACUUUGGAAAAUUAAAAGCCUUAAGGAAUCAUACAAAGUUCUUAAAAGUUAUGGCCCUGGCCUAACUAGAGUAGUUAUAACUUUCUGAAUAUGGAAGACACGGACCUCCCUUUCCUGCCAAACCCAUAGGGCAGCCAGGUUUCAAAGUGUGAACCCAGGCUAGCCAUCUCAACAUCACCCCAGGAAACUGAUAGAAAUGCAAACUUUUGGCUCUAGACCUACUAAUAGAGAAACUCGAAGGGUGGGGUUCAACAGUUUAGCACUAAUGUUCCAGGACAACUGCUUUAAAAAGUAAUGGCAACAUUUCUACAAUUUAAAUUCAGCAAAUGGGACUUACUUCCCCCAUGGCACAGUGAAUGUAGAAUCCAUCUGCCAAUGCAAGGGACAUGGAUUUGAUCCCUGGUCCAGGAAGAUUCCACAUGCCUUGGAGCAACUGAGCCCGUGUGCCAUCACAGCUGCUGAAGCCCAUAUGCCUAGAGCCUGUGCCCCACAGCAAUGAGACGCCUGCGCACUGCAACACAAAGUAGCCUCCCAUCACUGCAGCUAGAGAAAUCCCACAUGCAACAAUGGAGACCCAGGCAACUCUGUCCAUGGGAUUCUCCAGGCAAGAAUACUGGAAUGGCUUGCCAUUUCCUUCUCCAGAGGAUCUUCCCAACCCAGGGAUCCAAACUGCACCUCUUGCAUUGCAGGUGGAUUUAUUACUGCUGAGCCAUACAGGUUUGCCCAAAGCAGAAUCAUGUGGUCCUAACGGGGAGUGAGAAGAAACAGACCAAAGUAUGUGAGGCUAGAACCGGAGGCACCUUGUAAAUUGGAUUUAAGGUGCAUUUAAGAUGUUAAUCUUAUCCAAAGAAUAAGGAAGAAAUCACCCAAGAGUUCUAAGUGUAUUAUUAUACCCAUUAAACACCAGAGCAAUGAGAAGUCUGGUAUUAGAAAAUUAGAAAGCGACAAUUCAUUCUUGAGGUUUUAUUUCUUAUUUGCUUUGUAAGAGAGCUAUAGGAAACCAAGGCCGCUUCUCUUAAGAAGCUUCUUUAAUGAGUGAGUGAAGUUGGUCAGUCAUGUCUGACUCUUUUGCGACCCCAUGGAUUGUAGCUUACUCUGUCCAUGGAAUUUUCCAGGCAAGAAUACUGGAGUGGGUUGCCAUUUCCUUCUCCAGGGGAUCUUCCCAACCCAGGAAUCAAACCUAGGUCUCCUGCACUGUACAUAGACACUUCUUUAGAAGCGUCUUUAAAGAAGCUUCUUUAGAUCUGCUCAAAUAUUCAAUAACACUUGCAACUCUAGAAAUUUAGGUCAGAUGGGCAAACUUGUUGAAAUAGAGAGUCAGAAUAUACCUUGUGACUUUGUGGGCUAGAGGAUCUUUGUCACAUGUAUUCAACUCUUUGCUAGUAUAGUGUAGAGGUAGCCAUCAGCUAUAUGAGCUUGGCUGUGAUCCCUUGAAAUUUUGUUUGAAAACACAGGAGGUAAUGGGUUUAGCCCUGGGGCAAUACUUUGCCUAUCCUUAACCUAGAUCAAGUAGCAUUAAAGACAUGAUCUGGAUGGAAGAUUCUGGAGGCUAUGGUAAACAUCUAAGUAAACAAACCUUAAACAGAAUAAUUGUACUUCCUUGGGACUUUGAUUUUGAGGAGGACCGUGUUGGGACUUGGGACUAUAAAACAGGAACAAACAAAUUGCACCUCCUAUGAGCUAAACAGAUUGACCUUGUGAACAGAAUUAUCAUCUGUGUAGAUUGUGAGGAAUAUGAGUUCCUUAGAGGCAAGUAUUUGUGUCUGUUUUGUUCAGUUUUUCUUUUUAACCCCUAGCUGAAUCCAUGGACCCUCAAGUUUUGUCUAUAGUGUCAUAUGCUAAUGGCUAAUAAAAGAUGUAUUUCACCAAAUGAAUGUUCAGUUAACGACUUUUCAGCAAUAUAAUUCGUAAAAAAGUCUUUUGGCAAACUUCGUUUUAUGCCCAAUAUAAAGAAAACUUUACCCAAAACGCACGAAAUAUAUACAGUAUGAGAAACUGUGUCACUAUUAUGAUUGCAGGCAAAGACACACUCAUCAAGUCACUCAAAAGAGGUUUUUGUAGUCAGAAUAUCUUGGGAAACAAAUUUAUAUCAGAACAAAUUGCCCUGUUCUGAUGAACACAAACAUGUUUGCUUUGCCUGUGAAUGGACAUGAACUUGAGCAAACUCCAGGAGAUAGUAGAGGUCAUAGGAGCCUGGCGUGCUGCAGUCCAUGGGGUCGCAGAGUUGGACACGACUUAGCAAUGGAACGACAACAACCAAGCUAGAGAUGAAGACAUAGCAUCUUCAUUUCUGACAACCCUUUGGUCUGUUGUGUUUUGCUUUUAUUUUUGCUGUAGAGAUAAAAUGUUAAGCUUAUUUUAAGCAAAAUUUGACCUCAGUAACAAUGAACCUCCAGAAGAUUGAAAAGUCUAUGAAGAAAAUAAUGUGCAAAGAAUAAUGAGAUUUCUAAUGUCAAACGCCCUCAUCUUUCCCUGUACGUACAUCAUCCAUUAUCCAGUCUUCACUCCUUCUUUGGAUGAGCAAAGAACCUGUGACAGCUGCAGGUUUCACUUCCUUCAGGAAGCUCUCUCUAACCACUUGGAGAUAAAACACCACUUUUCUCUCUCUUUCACUACAGACUUGUUUAGUGCAUCUUUCUCAAAAUAUUAUGAACUCUUUUAAGGAACUGCCUUUGUGUCCCUGGAUCUGACGCACAGUAGAUACUCCCCAAAUGUGUGUUCAGUAAAUGGGUUGAAGUAAAAGUAAGAUAAAUGGCAAAGAGUCAGAGCUGUCUGGAAAUGAGUGAACCCCGGGAGUUGAUGAUGCACAGGGAGGCCUGCCGUGCUGCAAUUCAUGGGGUCGCAAAGAGUCGGACAUGACUGAGCGACUGAACUGAACUGAACUGAGUGAGCUGGAUACUACACUGCCCUCCCCCAAAUUAAUUUCCACCCAGAACCUCAGAAUGUGACUUAAUUUGAAAAUAAAGUCUUAACAGAUGUAAUCAGUUUAGGAUCUCCAGAUGAAACUAUACUCGAUGUCGU